rnacentral:rRNA from 1 species
CUGACCCCAUGCCGAACUCAGAAGUGAAACGCCGUAGCGCCGAUGGUAGUGUGGGGUCUCCCCAUGUGAGAGUAGGGAACUGCCAGAC